AUACUAUCCUGACAGGGGAGAUACCAUGAUCACAAAGGUGCUUUUCCCAGGGCAAGCCUUAUCAAUUGCAUUCCAGAUAUGCUGACCCCUGCAUUUUUUUCAAAUGCGGAAAACUCUACUGCAUAUUUUGGUAGUGGGGGACUGUGUUCAUUAUACUGUA